UACGGAGGGUGCAAGCGUUAUCCGGAUUUACUGGGUUUAAAGGUGCGCAGGCGGAUAUGUAAGUCAGUGGUGAAAUCUCUAGGCUUAACCUGGAAAUUGCCGUUGAUACUAUAUAUCUUGAAUGCUGUGGAGGUAAGCGGAAUAUGUCAUGUAGCGGUGAAAUGCUUAGAUAUGACAUAGAACACCUAUUGCGAAGGCAGCUUACUACGCAGAUGAUUGACGCUCAUGCACGAAAGCGUGGGGAUCAAACAGG
rnacentral:rRNA from 1 species